rnacentral:rRNA from 1 species
UGUGUGUUAGUGGAAGCGUCUGGAAAGGCGCGCGAUACAGGGUGACAGCCCCGUACACAAAAAUGCACAUACUGUGAGCUCGAUGAGUAGGGCGGGACACGUGGUAUCCUGUCUGAAUAUGGGGGGACCAUCCUCCAAGGCUAAAUACUCCUGACUGACCGAUAGUGAACCAGUACCGUGAGGGAAAGGCGAAAAGAACCCCGGCGAGGGGAGUGAAAAAGAACCUGAAACCGUGUACGUACAAGCAGUGGGAGCACAGAGCAAUCUGUGUGACUGCGUACCUUUUGUAUAAUGGGUCAGCGACUUAUAUUCUGUAGCAAGGUUAACCGAAUAGGGGAGCCGAAGGGAAACCGAGUCUUAACUGGGCGUUAAGUUGCAGGGUAUAGACCCGAAACCCGGUGAUCUAGCCAUGGGCAGGUUGAAGGUUGGGUAACACUAACUGGAGGACCGAACCGACUAAUGUUGAAAAAUUAGCGGAUGACUUGUGGCUGGGGGUGAAAGGCCAAUCAAACCGGGAGAUAGCUGGUUCUCCCCGAAAGCUAUUUAGGUAGCGCCUCGUGAAUUCAUCUCCGGGGGUAGAGCACUGUUUCGGCAAGGGGGUCAUCCCGACUUACCAACCCGAUGCAAACUGCGAAUACCGGAGAAUGUUAUCACGGGAGACACACGGCGGGUGCUAACGUCCGUCGUGAAGAGGGAAACAACCCAGACCGCCAGCUAAGGUCCCAAAGUCAUGGUUAAGUGGGAAACGAUGUGGGAAGGCCCAGACAGCCAGGAUGUUGGCUUAGAAGCAGCCAUCAUUUAAAGAAAGCGUAAUAGCUCACUGGUCGAGUCGGCCUGCGCGGAAGAUGUAACGGGGCUAAACCAUGCACCGAAGCUGCGGCAGCGACGCUGAUGCGUUGUUGGGUA